rnacentral:rRNA from 1 species
UACGUAGGGGGCAAGCGUUGUCCGGAAUCAUUGGGCGUAAAGCGCGCGUAGGCGGCCCGGUAAGUCCGUUGUAAAAGUCAAAGGCUCAACCUUUGAAAGCCGAUGGAUACUGCCGGGCUAGAAUCCGGAAGAGGCGAGUGGAAUUCCUGGUGUAGCGGUGGAAUGCGCAGAUAUCAGGAGGAACACCAACAGCGAAGGCAGCUCGCUGGGACGGUAUUGACGCUGAGGCGCGAAAGCGUGGGGAGCAAACAGG